UCUUUAAGAAAUAUUGUAAGGUAUGUAAUUGAUCACAAGUUAGUUUAACUACAAUUCCAUGUGGAUUCUGAUACUCCUGUAUUGAUUUAUUAAAAGUUAGUAUUAUAUUUAUAUGAGACUUGUCAUAGAAUCCAAAUGUGAUCUACCUUAAAUGGUUCUGAACGUGCAAAAAGAACUGGUGCAGAUGGCAUGCGUUUAAAAGAAGGCAUUCAUAUCAACAAGGGUCUAUUAGCUCUUGGGAAUGUAAUAAGUUCUCUAAGAGAUGAAAGAAAGC